UGGCACAAUGCGAUUUGGGGGGCAUCGCCUGGCACAACGCGAUUUGGGGUGCAUGGCCUGGCAUGAUGCGGGUUUGGGGGACAUGGCCUGGCAUGAUGCGGUUCGGGGGACAUGGCCUGGCAUGAUGUAAUUGGGGGGCAUGGCCUGGCAUGAUGUGAUUGGGGGGCAUGGCCUGGCAUGAUGUGAUUGGGGGGCAUGGCCUGGCAUGAUGCGAUUGGGGGGCAUGGCCUGGCAUGUUGCGGUUCGGGGGACAUGGCCUGGCAUGAUGUGAUUGGGGGGCAUGGCCUGGCAUGAUGUGAUUGGGGGGCAUGGCCUGGCAUGAUGCGGGUUUGGGGGACAUGGCCUGGCACAAUUUGGUUUGUGGGCUUGCAUGGACGGAUGCUCUUGUGGGGUUUCGUGGCAUAAUGCCGUUCGGAGGUUGCAUGGACGAAUUCGAUUUGGGACGUACGUGAGGUGCCUUGGCACGGUAUCGUGCACGGUAAGUCUGGGCCGCAAGCUUGGGGGGUAAACUGCCGUUCACGCUCAAAUGCAACCGUUAGUCGUUGGAAUUGGCAUAUUUAACCGUUUCGUCUGUACUUAUGCAGGGUCUCCACUUCCGCAGGCUUUCUGUUUGAAAGUUGCUCGAGUGCGCGGCCUCAGGUCUAACGAGGCUGCGACGUACGUGAGGCGCCUUAGCACGGUAUCGUGCACGGUAAGUCCGGGCCGCAAGCUUGGGGGGUAAACUGCUGUUCGCGCUCAAAUGCAACCGUUAGUCGUUGGAAUUGGCAUAUUUAACCGUUUCGUCUGUACUUAUGCAGGGUCUCCACUUCCGCAGGCUUUCUGUUUGAAAGUUGCUCGAGUGCGCGGCCUCAGGUCUAACGAGGCUGCGACGUACGUGAGGCGCCUUAGCACGGUAUCGUGCACGGUAAGUCUGGGCCGCAAGCUUGGGGGGUAAACUGCUGUUCGCGCUCAAAUGCAACCGUUAGUCGUUGGAAUUGGCAUAUUUAACCGUUUCGUCUGUACUUAUGCAGGGUCUCCACUUCCGCAGGCUUUCUGUUUGAAAGUUGCUCGAGUGCGCGGCCUCAGGUCUAACGAGGCUGCGACGUACGUGAGGCGCCUUAGCACGGUAUCGUGCACGGUAAGUCCGGGCCGCAAGCUUGGGGGGUAAACUGCUGUUCGCGCUC
rnacentral:lncRNA from 1 species